ACGAACGCUGGCGGCGUGCCUAACACAUGCAAGUCGAACGGGAAGUUUCUCUUCGGAGAAAUGGAGAGUGGCGCACGGGUGAGUAACACGUAGCUAACCUGCCCUCAAGACCGGGACAACCUUCGGAAACGGGGGCUAACACCGGAUAAGCUCACGGACGGUAGGGGUGAGUGAGAAAAGACUGAGGUGCUUGAGGAGGGGGCUGCGGCCCAUCAGCUAGCUGGUAGGGUAACGGCCUACCAGGGCGAAGACGGGUAGGGGACCUGAGGGGGUGACCCCCCACACUGGGACUGAGACACGGCCCAGACUCCUACGGGAGGCAGCAGUGAGGGAUAUUGCGCAAUGGGCGAAAGCCUGACGCAGCAACGCCGCGUGAGCGAGGAAGGCCUUCGGGUCGUAAAGCUCUUUUCUGCGUGACGAGGACGGACGGUAGCGCGGGAAUAAGUCUCGGCUAACUACGUGCCAGCAGCCGCGGUAAAACGUAGGAGGCGAGCGUUAUCCGGAGUUACUGGGCGUAAAGCGCGUGUAGGCGGCAUAGCAAGUCCGGCGUGAAAGCUCCCGGCUCAACUGGGAGAGGUCGUCGGAAACUGCUGAUCUGGAGUGCGGCAGAGGGGCAUGGAAUUCCGGGUGUAGUGGUGAAAUGCGUAGAUAUCCGGAGGAACACCAGUGGCGAAGGCGAUGCCCUGGGCCGCAACUGACGCUGAGACGUGAAAGCGUGGGGAGCGAACGGGAUUAGAAACCCCGGUAGUCCACGCCGUAAACGAUGCACACUAGGCGUUCGCGGGGCGAAAGCGUCGUGAGUGCCGCAGCAAACGCGAUAAGUGUGCCGCCUGGGGAGUACGGUCGCAAGGCUAAACUCAAAGGAAUUGACGGGGGCCCGCACAAGCAGCGGAGCGUGUGGUUUAAUUCGAGGCUACGCGAAGAACCUUACCUGGAUUUGACAUCAUGGUGGUAAUGAGGCGAAAGCCGAGUGACCUACGGGAGCCAUGACAGGUGCUGCAUGGCUGUCGUCAGCUCGUGCCGUGAGGUGUUCGGUUAAGUCCGCAAACGAGCGCAACCCUCGGGCUUAGUUACAAGUGUCUAAGCCGACUGCCCGCGACAAGCGGGAGGAAGGUGGGGAUGACGUCAAGUCAGCAUGGCCUUUAUGUCCAGGGCGACACACACGCUACAAUGGGCAGUACAAAGGGCAGCGAAACCGCGAGGUGGAGCCAAUCUCAGAAAGCUGUUCGUAGUUCGGAUUGCAGGCUGCAACUCGCCUGCAUGAAGUCGGAGUUGCUAGUAACCGCAGGUCAGCCACACUGCGGUGAAUACGUUCCCGGGCCUUGUACACACCGCCCGUCACGUCAUGGAAGUCGGUCACGCCUGAAGUCGGGGAGCCAACCGCAAGGAGGCAACCGCCGAGGGCAGGGCUGGUGACUGGGACGAAGUCGUAACAGGUAGC
rnacentral:rRNA from 1 species